rnacentral:rRNA from 1 species
UGGGGAAUAUUGCACAAUGGGCGCAAGUCUGAUGCAGCGACGCCGCGUGAGGGAUGACGGCCUUCGGGUUGUAAACCUCUUUCACCAGGGGCGAACUUAGACGGUACCUGGAGAAGAAGCACCGGCCAACUACGUGCCAGCAGCCGCGGUAAUACGUAGGGUGCGAGCGUUGUCCGGAAUUACUGGGCGUAAAGAGCUCGUAGGCGGUUUGUCGCGUCGUUCGUGAAAACUUGAUGCUUAACAUCAAGC